rnacentral:rRNA from 1 species
GAUGAACGCUGGCGGCGUGCCUAAUACAUGCAAGUCGAGCGAACAGACGAGGAGCUUGCUCCUCUGACGUUAGCGGCGGACGGGUGAGUAACACGUGGAUAACCUACCUAUAAGACUGGGAUAACUUCGGGAAACCGGAGCUAAUACCGGAUAAUAUAUUGAACCGCAUGGUUCAAUAGUGAAAGACGGUUUUGCUGUCACUUAUAGAUGGAUCCGCGCCGCAUUAGCUAGUUGGUAAGGUAACGGCUUACCAAGGCAACGAUGCGUAGCCGACCUGAGAGGGUGACCGCCCACACGGAAACGGAGACAGGGCCCACCCUCCGACGGGAGGCAGCAGUAGGGAUCUUUCCGCAAUGGGCGAAGGCCUGACGGACCACCGCCGCGGGAUUGAGGAAGGUCUUGGAAUCGAAAAACUCUUUUAUUGGGAAAAAAAAAAUGUUUAAGUACCUAUGCCCGUCUUGACGUUCCCUAACAAGAAAGCCACGGCAAACUCCGUC